rnacentral:rRNA from 1 species
AUUGAACGCUGGCGGCAGGCCUAACACAUGCAAGUCGAACGAGUGGCGGACGGGUGAGUAAUGUCUGGGACACUGCCUGAUGGAGGGGGAUAGCUACUGGAAACGGUAGCUAAUACCGCAUACAAUAAGAUGUGCCCAGAUGGGAUUAGCUAGUUGGUGGGGUAACGGCUCACCAAGGCGACUAUCCCUAGCUGGUCUGAGAGGAUGACCAGACACACGGGAACUGAGACACGGUCCAGACUCCUACGGGAGGAAGCAGUGGGGAAUAUUGCACAAUGGGCGCAAGCCUGAUGCAGCCAUGCCGCGUGUAUGAAGAAGGCCUUCGGGUUGUAAAGUACUUUCAGCGGGGAGGCGUUACCCGCAGAAGAAGCACCGGCUAACUCCGUGCCAGCAGCCGCGGUAAUUC